CAGGGACCCCGAACCCUCCAUCGAGGGCGCCGGCACCCACAGAGGAUGCCGGCGACCUCGGUGGAGGGGUCGGGGUCGCCGA
rnacentral:pre_miRNA from 1 species